GAUGAACGCUGACAGAAUGCUUAACACAUGCAAGUCAACUUGAACUUCGGUUUGGGUGGCGGACGGGUGAGUAACGCGUAAAGAACUUGCCUCACAGAUAGGGACAACAUUUGGAAACGAAUGCUAAUACCUGAUAUUAUGAUUUUAGGGCAUCCUAGGAUUAUGAAAGCUAUAUGCGCUGUGAGAGAGCUUUGCGUCCCAUUAGCUAGUUGGAGAGGUAACGGCUCACCAAGGCGAUGAUGGGUAGCCGGCCUGGGAGGGUGAUCGGCCACAAGGGGACUGAGACACGGCCCUUACUCUUACGGGAGGAAGCAGUGGGGAAUAUUGGCAAAUGGACCAAGAGUCUGAUCGAGCAAUUCUGUGUGCAAGAUGAAGUUUUUCGGAAUGUAAAGUGCUUUCAGUUGGGAAGAAAAAAAUGACGGUACCAACAGAAGAAGUGACGGCUAAAUACGUG
rnacentral:rRNA from 1 species